rnacentral:rRNA from 1 species
GGGGAAUAUUGGGCAAUGGGCGAAAGCCUGACCCAGCAACGCCGCGUGAGGGAAGAAGGUUUUCGGAUUGUAAACCUCUGUCGCAGAUGACGAAGGAAGUGACGGUAAUCUGUGAGGAAGCCCCGGCUAACUACGUGCCAGCAGCCGCGGUAAUACGUAGGGGGCGAGCGUUGUCCGGAAUUACUGGGCGUAAAGGGUGCGUAGGCGGCAUAUUAAGUUGGAUGUGAAAUGCCCGGGCUUAACUUGGGACUUGCAUUCAAAACUGGUAAGCUAGAGUACAGGAGAGGAAAGCGGAAUUCCUAGUGUAGCGGUGAAAUGCGUAGAUAUUAGGAGGAACACCGGUGGCGAAGGCGGCUUUCUGGACUGAAACUGACGCUGAGGCACGAAAGCGUGGGGAGCAAAC